rnacentral:lncRNA from 1 species
GGUGGGGAAGGUUGGGUUUGCUCUGGCUUACAGAAAGCCCAAGGAUUGUGGAAAGAGACUGAGAAGUGGGCAAAUAUGUUUGCCUGAAAAUGAAAAAUCUUUUUUCUAGAAUGGCAAAUAUUUAUGUUCCGUCGAGAGCAAAUCGAUGUCGCUCUUCUCUGAAGUCACGCUGCCUGCAUGAGAACAGCGCCCAGCCCAGAAGACAGGACGACUGCUGAAUCCGUGGCUCAGGGGGCAGACUGCAGCCCCAGCUGCUCCCCGGCCACCCGCCGCUCCGCCCGGCCCUGCUGUGGAGGCGCGCUCUGUUCUCAGGCCGCAGGCAGAAACGGUAAUCCGGGCAGGCUGCCUGUUCAGCCGCUCCCCAACUGCGCCCGCCCCAUACAUGGGGAGGGAGGAUUUCCGGUGAAACACCCAGGCGUGCCAGCCGCUGCAGCCCUGGGCGCUUGUGUGCGCCUCUCCCUUCCCCUGCCGGGGCGCUGGGCUUCGUAACCACAUCUCCGCUCCUCCGAGGGAACCACAAUAACUCGCCUGCCCCUAACGCUGUGCAGAAUCGCUUUACGACACGAGGAUGCAUUUUCUCCCAAGUUAUUAAGGCCCGAUUACAUCACGGCUUCUUCCAGGGAAUGCUAAGUACCUGAGGGACAACGCUGCAGUCACCCCCUCUCGCCUCUGCAAAUCACUACACAGAGGGCGCCUUGAUGCUGCACCCGGAGCACCCCCCUCCCCCGGCCCGGAGCCCUCGCUGGGAUGAGGGGGAACCGGGGCUGCGAAGACAAAUCCUCUCUCUCCCAUGAGCUCAGCAUGGCCUCUCUGCACAUCCCAGACCCGUGCCCGGCUCUCGCUGGAGAAGCAGCCGCCCAGCUGAGUGGUCAGCGCGGGAGCAGGACUCGGGUUCUGAACGCUGCCCCGGCCUCCACGGGGACGCAUCCGGCCAGGGCAGCCUGUGUGCAACCACACGGAUGGCGCUCACUGCUCAGCAUUUUCUGCGGGAUUUGGGGCCACUACGGGCGCUGCUGAUGGCUCCCUACAACCCCGUGAGACAGACCUGGCUUGGCUUUACAGGGGCUCGAAGUUCAGAAGCCAGUGGGAGUGAAAGGCCGAACAGCUGGCAGGGUGGCUCCCAGGGUUCAGACCAGGUGUCCCUAUCCAGAACCCGUGACCUAACCACGCGUGUCCCUAUCCAGAGCCCGUGACUUCAGACCACGUGUGUCCCUGACCAGAGCCUGUGACCUCAUACUGUUCAUGUCUCUGUCCAGAGCCCAUGAGCUCAGAACACGCAUGUCUCUGUCCAGAGCCCAUGACCUCAGACCACAUGUGUCCCUGACCAGAGCCCAUGACCUCAGACCAUGCAUGUCUCUGUCCAGAGCCUGUGACCUCAGAACACGUGUGUCCCUGACCAGAGCUGUGACCUCAUACUGUUCAUGUCUCUGUCCAGAGCCCAUGAGCUCAGAACACGCAUGUCUCUGUCCAGAGCCCAUGACCUCAGACC